rnacentral:rRNA from 1 species
UACGUAGGGUGCAAGCGUUAAUCGGAAUUACUGGGCGUAAAGCGUGCGCAGGCGGUGAUGUAAGACAGGUGUGAAAUCCCCGGGCUUAACCUGGGAAUGGCAUUUGGGACUGCAAGGCUGGAGUGCGGCAGAGGAGACUGGAAUUCCUGGUGUAGCAGUGAAAUGCGUAGAUAUCAGGAGGAACACCGAUGGCGAAGGCAGCUCUCUGGGACGGUACUGACGCUGAGACGCGAAAGCGUGGGGAGCGAACAGG